CAGGCACUUUGGUGACUCUAGAGAACCUCGGGCCAAUCGCACGUCCCUGUGAUGGUGACGACGCAUUCGGAUGUCUGCCCUAUCAACUUUCGAUGGACUUUCUGCGCCUACCAUGGUGACCUCGGGUAACGGGGAAUCAGGGUUCGAUUCCGGAGAGGAAGCCUGAGAAACGGCUACCACAUCCAAGGAAGGCAGCAG